GACGAACGCUGGCGGCGUGCCUAAUACAUGCAAGUCGAACGCAGUGGGGACGGGUGAGUAACACGUGGGUAACCUCCCAUCAGAGGGGAUAACACUUGGCAACAGGUGCUAAACCGAUACUGAUGGAUGAACCCGCGGUGCAUUAGCUAGUUGGUGAGGUAACGGCUCACCAAGGCCACGAUGCAUAGCCGACCUGAGAGGAUGAUCGGCCACACUGGGACUGAGACACGGCCCAGACGCCUACGGGAGGCAGCAGUGGGGAAUCUUGGGCAAUGGGCGAAAGUCUGACGGAGCAACGCCGCGUGAGUGAAGAAGGUUUUCGGAUCGUAAAGCUCUGUUGUUAGAGAGGCGGUAUCUAACCAGAAAGCCACGGCUAACUACGUGCCAGCAGCCGCGGUAAUUC
rnacentral:rRNA from 1 species